rnacentral:rRNA from 1 species
UAGAGUUUGAUCAUGGCUCAGAUUGAACGCUGGCGGCAGGCCUAACACAUGCAAGUCGAGCGGAAACGACACUAACAAUCUUUCGGGUGCGUUAAUGGGCGUCGAGCGGCGGACGGGUGAGUAAUGCCUAGGAAAUUGCCUUGAUGUGGGGGAUAACCAUUGGAAACGAUGGCUAAUACCGCAUAACGCCCACGGGCCAAAGAGGGGGACCUUCGGGCCUCUCGCGUCAAGAUAUGCCUAGGUGGGAUUAGCUAGUUGGUGAGGUAAUGGCUCACCAAGGCGACGAUCCCUAGCUGGUCUGAGAGGAUGAUCAGCCACACUGGAACUGAGACACGGUCCAGACUCCUACGGGAGGCAGCAGUGGGGAAUAUUGCACAAUGGGCGAAAGCCUGAUGCAGCCAUGCCGCGUGUAUGAAGAAGGCCUUCGGGUUGUAAAGUACUUUCAGUUGUGAGGAAGGGGGUAGCGUUAAUAGCGCUAUCUCUUGACGUUAGCAACAGAAGAAGCACCGGCUAACUCCGUGCCAGCAGCCGCGGUAAUACGGAGGGUGCGAGCGUUAAUCGGAAUUACUGGGCGUAAAGCGCAUGCAGGUGGUUCAUUAAGUCAGAUGUGAAAGCCCGGGGCUCAACCUCGGAACUGCAUUUGAAACUGGUGAACUAGAGUACUGUAGAGGGGGGUAGAAUUUCA